GGCUCCAUAGUGUAGGUGGUUAUCACUCCAGGUUCUGAUUCUGGCGACGCGAGUUCGAGUCUCGCUGGAGCCU
rnacentral:tRNA from 1 species